rnacentral:rRNA from 1 species
GAUUGAAGAUUUAUCUGAAAGAACUUUUGUAACAAUGGCUUUAGUGGCGGACUGGUGAGUAACACGUAAGCAACCUACCUAUUAGAGGGGGAUAACAGUGAGAAAUCAUUGCUAAUACCGCAUAAGCUUGUAGUAUCGCAUGAUAUAGUAAGAAAAGGAGAAAUCCACUAAUAGAUGGGCUUGCGGCUGAUUAGCUAGUUGGUAAGGUAACGGCUUACCAAGGCAACGAUCAGUAGCCGGGCUGAGAGGCUCUGCGGCCACAUUGGGACUGAGAUACGGCCCAGACUCCUACGGGAGGCAGCAGUCGGGAAUAUUGCGCAAUGGAGGAAACUCUGACGCAGUGACGCCGCGUAUAGGAAGAAGGUUUUCGGAUUGUAAACUAUUUUAGUCAGGGAAGAAAAAAGACGGUACCUGAAGAAUAAGCUCCGGCUAACUACGUGCCAGCAGCCGCGGUAAUACGUAGGGAGCAAGCGUUAUCCGGAAUUAUUGGGUGUAAAGGGUGCGUAGACGGGAAUACAAGUUAGUUGUGAAAGCCCUCGGCUUAACUGAGGAACUGCAACUAAAACUAUAUUUCUUGAGUGCAGGAGAGGAAAGCGGAAUUCCUAGUGUAGCGGUGAAAUGCGUAGAUAUUAGGAGGAACACCAGUGGCGAAGGCGGCUUUCUGGACUGUAACUGACGUUGAGGCACGAAAGUGUGGGGAGCAAACAGGAUUAGAUACCCUGGUAGUCCACACUGUAAACGAUGGAUACUAGGUAUAGGGGAUUAUAUGUUCUCUGUGCCGAAAGC